GAGCAGAGGCUGCGCCACUGCACUCCAGCCCGGGCCACAAGAGUAAAACUCUGUCUCAAAAAAAAAAAAAAAAAAAAAAAAGAGAGACUUCUGUUGGGGUCUGGAUGCUGAUCUUUACAUAAUAACUUCUCCCUUAAGACCCUAACACAGCUGAAGGCAAACUCCAAGGAAAGGAAGAGAAUUAACAAGUACUGGGAGCUAAAACUGUGAAAUGGGCUGUAUGAGGGGCUUUAGUGAUGUUUUCUUAAUUGAGUCUCUCAAGCCUUGGAAACAGGUAACAAACUUCACCUGUCAUCUCAUCAUCUCUAGAUGGGAUUACUAUUAGCCUUCUAAAUGGUCUGUUCCACGCUUACCCUUUAUCACCCAAUCUAUUCUCUAUUCAGCAAUGUUAGUUCUUUUUUUUUUUUUUUUUUUUUUUGAGAUGGAGUCUUGCUCUGUUCCCCAGCCUGGAGUGCAGUGGUGCGAUCUCGGU
rnacentral:lncRNA from 10 species